UACGUAGGGUGCAAGCGUUAAUCGGAAUUACUGGGCGUAAAGCGUGCGCAGGCGGUUCGGAAAGAAAGAUGUGAAAUCCCAGAGCUUAACUUUGGAACUGCAUUGGUGACUGCAAGGCUAGAGUGUGUCAGAGGGAGGUGGAAUUCCGCAUGUAGCAGUGAAAUGCGUAGAUAUGCGGAGGAACACCGAUGGCGAAGGCAGCCUCCUGGGAUAACACUGACGCUCAUGCACGAAAGCGUGGGGAGCGAACAGGAUUAGAUACCCUGGUAGUCCACGCUGUAAACGAUGAGUGCUAAGUGUUGGAGGGUUUCCGCCCUUCAGUGCUGCAGUUAACGCAUUAAGCACUCCGCCUGGGGAGUACGACCG
rnacentral:rRNA from 1 species